UACGGAGGGUGCAAGCGUUAUCCGGAUUCACUGGGUUUAAAGGGUGCGUAGGAGGGCAGGUAAGUCAGUGGUGAAAUCUCCGAGCUUAACUCGGAAACUGCCGUUGAUACUAUCUGUCUUGAAUACCGUGGAGGUGAGCGGAAUAUGUCAUGUAGCGGUGAAAUGCUUAGAUAUGACAUAGAACACCAAUUGCGAAGGCAGCUAACUAUGCGAUAAUUGACGCUGAGGCACGAAAGCGUGGGGAGCAAACAGG
rnacentral:rRNA from 1 species